ACAAACCAUUCAAACACACACACUUAGAAAUCCGCAGACCAAAGAAACGCUGAGCUCCAGAGAGAUCGCAGCCUUUACUGUACAUCAUGACAACUGAAUGAACCCUAGAGCAGAACUUUGGAUUAUUCGGAGGCCAUAAGACCUUUAAAUUCUCCAGACAAUGUGAAUUUUGAACAUCAUGAAGAAACACGUCGAGUGUGACGCACAUUCCCUGCGUGGAUGAGCACGGCUUUUCCAGACCUCUGAACAUCCUGCGUGAUUUCUGGAGAACUUCUGAAAAAGCACCUUUACAGUGUGAAUCAUCCGACCUGAAACCGUUCGUCACACAACUCCUACACAACCAGCCUCUUCACUGACACCGAGUGUUUAUCUCUGUAAGUCACGCUCUCGGACCGCUUUAAAAUAGAACCUCAACUGCAAUUUGUGAUUCAUAAACGCACUGCGAAAAAUUGCAUAACUGUGACUGCCGUCCUGAAGUGAAAAAUGAGGACGAGAGAAGAGAAUAUUAAUCAAACAGAAUAAUAAAAUGGAGUUAUGGAGCUCUGGAGUUAUUCCUGUGGCCAGAGGACAUAACAAAAUCACACAAAAAAGAAUGUUAUGUUUCAAAUGAUGAAACUGUAUAGUUUAAAAUAAAUAUGAUUUUUGGCCUGUUAUGAUUGCACACGCAUUUAGUGGAAUAUACUUUAUAUACAUAGCAAAACUAUCUUUUGCUUUGCUGAUGCUGUUUUUAACCAUCUGAUAAUCUUCUAACAGGCCUAAUGGUGCUGAAUAAACUCUCACUGCUGGAUGCUGCCAAGUUACACGGCCGUGCGCUGUCAUCCAUCCAACAGCCAAUCAGCUCUCAGACAUUCAGUUCCUGCGGAGCGCUUUGUUCCCCAUCAAGAAGGGAUAACGGGAACGCUACAGUCUGUUAACCAGAAACGCUCUCUCUUUGUCUGAAUGUGAAAGUCUCACUGCGCGUCAAAAAACAAAAACAAAGUCGCUGAUUGGUUAAAUCGAAGCGUUCUCAACCAAUUCAAAUUAAGUUUCUGUUUUCAUGUCACAAAAAGUCGUAAUUUAACACGCCGAACAAUCCCACAUGUUUUUAGUAAGGUGAUGCAUUUUAAGUAAGA